CGGUACGUACUGGCAUCGUCGGUUUCUCCCUUCUGACGAACCAUGAUGUCAUUUAUUUGGUGUUGUGGGGAAUCAGGACUGUUACUUUGAAAAAAUUAGAGUCGUUUAAAGCAGGCUCACGCUUGAAUACAUUAGCAUGGAAUAAUGAAAUAGGACGUUUGAUUCUAUUUUGUUGGUUUCUAGGAUCGACGUAAUGAUUAAUAGGGAUAGUUGGGAGCAUUAGUAUUCAAUUGUCAGAGGUGAAAUUCUUGGAUUUAUUGAAGACUAACUACUGCGAAAGCAUUUGCCAAGGAUGUUUUCAUUAAUCAAGAACGAAAGUUAGGGGAUCGAAGACGAUCAGAUACCGUCGUAGUCUUAACCAUAAACUAUGCCGACUAGGGAUCGGAUGAUGUUAAUUUUUUAAUGACUCAUUCGGCGCCUUACG
rnacentral:rRNA from 1 species